GAUAGUCAAGCAAUCUAUCAGUUUUGACUGCUGGAAUAUAAACGACUGCAACAAUGUACCGUAAAUCUAUACGGAUGCUCUUCGACUGCUUGUCGAAGUCCUUUUUGCCCCAGCCGAUAGGUCUCUAGAUGUUAUAGAGAACCCCGAACAACCCAAACUGUUAAUCUUCAAUACCGCUUUGUACUUACGAUCUUAUAUCCAUUGACUGUCUUGUUAGAUUAAUCCAAUAAAUUUCAUUCACUCCGCAUACUCAAUCCUAUAGACACCCUUUUAAUCCUUCAAUCACAGACGUAACUCGAUUUCACAAAACAGUCAAGAGUAUUCAAACCCACUUCAUUAAAAAUCCCGAUUCAUCAUUACAAUACUGACUUCUGCAGUGAUUGCCUCA
rnacentral:lncRNA from 1 species